GCCAGUGUAGUGUAGUGGUUGGAGUGUUGGACAACAACUCUGGAGACCAGGGUUCGAAUCCCCACCCGGUCA